UCCGGGUUAAUUAGGUUAGAUAG
rnacentral:snRNA from 1 species